rnacentral:tRNA from 1 species
GGAGGAAUCGCCUAAUGGUAUGGCAGCAGUCUUGAAAACUGCCGGGCGCAAGCCUGUGGGGGUUCGAGUCCCUCUUCCUCCGCUA